rnacentral:rRNA from 1 species
GGAAUCUUGCGCAAUGGACGGAAGUCUGACGCAGCGACGCCGCGUGGGUGAAGACGGCCUUCGGGUUGUAAAGCCCUUUUCUGGAGGAAGAGGGAGGACGGUACUCCAGGAAUAAGUGUCGGCUAACUACGUGCCAGCAGCCGCGGUAAUACGUAGGACACGAGCGUUAUCCGGAUUUACUGGGCGUAAAGCGCCUGUAGGCGGUUCUUCAAGUCGUUUGUGAAAGCCCUGGGCUCAACCUGGGGAGGCCAAGCGAUACUGGAGGACUUGAGGGUGACAGAGGGGAGUGGAAUUUCCGGUGUAGCGGUAAAAUGCGCAGAUAUCGGGAGAACACCGAGUGGCGAAGGCGGCUCCGUGGGUCACACCAGACGCUGAGAGGCGAAAGCUAGGGGAGCGAACA